rnacentral:rRNA from 1 species
UACGGAGGAGGCAAGCGUUAUCCGGAAUUAUUGGGCGUAAAGCGUCCGCAGGUGGCACCUCAAGUCUGCUGUCAAAGACCGGGGCUUAACCCCAGAAAGGCAGUGGAAACUGAAGUGCUGGAGUGCAGUAGGGGUAGAGGGAAUUCCCGGUGUAGCGGUGAAAUGCGUAGAGAUCGGGAAGAACAUCGGUGGCGAAAGCGCUCUGCUGGACUGCAACUGACGCUCAGGGACGAAAGCUAGGGGAGCGAAUGGG